rnacentral:piRNA from 1 species
UCCUCCCCUAGGUGGCCCCAUUUUC